rnacentral:rRNA from 1 species
GACGAACGCUGGCGGCGUGCUUAACACAUGCAAGUCGAACGGAAAGGCCCUGCUUUUGUGGGGUGCUCGAGUGGCGAACGGGUGAGUAACACGUGAGUAACCUGCCCUUGACUGUGGGAUAACUUCAGGAAACUGGGGCUCAUACCGGAUAUGAGCUCCUGCUGCAUGGUGGGGGAUGGAAAGUGUCGGCGGUUGGGGAUGGACUCGCGGCUUAUCAGCUUGUUGGUGGGGUAGUGGCUUGCCAAGGCUUUGACGGGUAGCCGGACUGAGAGGGUGACCGGCCACAAUGGGACUGAGGUACGGCCCAGACUCCUACGUGAGGCAGCAGUGGGGAUCAUUCCACAAUGGGCGGAAGCCGGAUGCAGCAACGCCGCGUGCGGGAUGACGGCCUUCGGGUUGUAAACCGCUUUCGCCUGUGACGAAGCGUGAGUGACGGUAAUGGGUAAAGAAGCACCGGCUAACUACGUG